rnacentral:rRNA from 1 species
UUCGUAGGUGGUGCGGCAAGUUGGGAGUGAAAUCUCUGGGCUUAACUCAGAGGCUGCUUUCAAAACUGCCGCGCUCGAGUGCGAGAGAGGUCAGUGGAAUUGCAGGUGUAGCGGUGAAAUGCGUAGAUAUCUGCAGGAACACCCGUGGCGAAGGCGGCUGACUGGAUCGCAACUGACACUGAGGAACGAAAGCUAGGGGAGCAAACAGGAUUAGAUACCCUGGUAGUCCUAGCCCUAAACCAUCAGAACUUGGGGUGGCCCGCGUAGGCGGGUCGUCCCGUAGCUAACGCGUUAAGUUCUGCGCCUGGGGAUACGGUCGCAAGACUGAA